GACGAACGCUGGCGGCGUGCUUAACACAUGCAAGUCGAACGAGAGCGUAGAGAAAGCUUGCUUUUUCUACAAUCUAGUGGCAAACGGGUGAGUAACGCGUAAACAACCUGCCCUACGGAUGGGGACAACAGCUGGAAACGGCUGCUAAUACCGAAUACGUUCCGAAAGUCGCAUGACUGUCGGAAGAAAGGAUGGCCUCUAUUUAUAAGCUAUCGCCGGAGGAGGGGUUUGCGUCUGAUUAGCUAGUUGGAGGGGUAACGGCCCACCAAGGCGACGAUCAGUAGCCGGUCUGAGAGGAUGAACGGCCACAUUGGAACUGAGACACGGUCCAGACUCCUACGGGAGGCAGCAGUGGGGAAUCUUCCGCAAUGGGCGAAAGCCUGACGGAGCAACGCCGCGUGAGUGAAGACGGCCUUCGGGUUGUAAAGCUCUGUUAUACGGGACGAAUAAUCUUGUGGUUAAUACCCAUAAGAAGUGACGUA
rnacentral:rRNA from 1 species